AAGGUACCCACCCCGCAAUUAGCCAUUCGGCGGGUAGUGAAGCGUGCAUCUGCUGGAGUAAUCCAUUUGGGUGAAGCCACGCGGAUCAAAUGUAAGGGCCGUAACAAAAGUGAACCGACAUGAGCCUCGUUACACCAUUAGCAGCGGCCAGCCUCUCGGAGUUGGUGAAGCCUGACACGGUCGGGGAAGCAAUGGUUAGCACCCGACUGGCUGCUCGGGGUCAGAGCG
rfam:Leptonema illini DSM 21528 genomic scaffold Lepilscaffold_1, whole genome shotgun sequence.